GCGGUUGUGGUGGAAUGGUAGACACGUAAGCUUGAGGGGUUUAUGACAGUAAUGUCGUGGAGGUUCAAAUCCUCUCAACCGCA
rnacentral:tRNA from 1 species